rnacentral:rRNA from 1 species
CAGUCGAACGGUAACAGGUUAAGCUGACGAGUGGCGAACGGGUGAGUAAUAUAUCGGAACGUGCCCAGUAGUGGGGGAUAGCCCGGCGAAAGCCGGAUUAAUACCGCAUACGACCUACGGGUGAAAGGGGGGGAUCGCAAGACCUCUCGCUAUUGGAGCGGCCGAUAUCAGAUUAGCUAGUUGGUGGGGUAAAAGCCCACCAAGGCGACGAUCUGUAGCUGGUCUGAGAGGACGACCAGCCACACUGGGACUGAGACACGGCCCAGACUCCUACGGGAGGCAGCAGUGGGGAAUUUUGGACAAUGGACGCAAGUCUGAUCCAGCCAUGCCGCGUGCGGGAAGAAGGCCUUCGGGUUGUAAACCGCUAUUGUCAGGGAAGAAAAGCUCCGAACUAAUAAUUUGGGGUGAUGAC